ACCGUCAAUUCAUUUGAGUUUUACCGUUGCCGGCGUACUCCCCAGGUGGAAUACUUAAUGCUUUCGCUUGGCCGCUUACUGUAUAUCGCAAACAGCGAGUAUUCAUCGUUUACUGUGUGGACUACCAGGGUAUCUAAUCCUGUUUGAUACCCACACUUUCGAGCAUCAGUGUCAGUUGCAGUCCAGUGAGCUGCCUUCGCAAUCGGAGUUCUUCGUGAUAUCUAAGCAUUUCACCGCUACACCACGAAUUCCGCCUACCUCUACUGCACUCAAGAAACCCAGUAUCAACUGCAAUUUUACGGUUGAGCCGCAAACUUUCACAACUGACUUAAGCUUCCGCCUACGCUCCCUUUAAACCCAAUAAAUCCGGAUAACGCUCGGAUCCUCCGUAUUACCGCGG
rnacentral:misc_RNA from 1 species